rnacentral:rRNA from 1 species
GGAUGAACGCUAGCGGCAGGCCUAAUACAUGCAAGUCGAGGGGUAAGAGUCAGCUUGCUGACUACACGACCGGCGCACGGGUGCGUAACGCGUAUGCAACCUACCUUUAACAGAGGAAUAGCCCCGAGAAAUCGGGAUUAAUACCACAUAACAUUAUGAUAUGGCAUCAUAUUAUAAUUAAAACUCCGGUGGUUAAAGAUGGGCAUGCGUGACAUUAGCUAGUUGGUGAGGUAACUGCUCACCAAGGCUACGAUGUCUAGGGGUUCUGAGAGGAUGAUCCCCCACACUGGUACUGAGACACGGACCAGACUCCUACGGGAGGCAGCAGUAAGGAAUAUUGCGCAAUGGAGGCAACUCUGACGCAGCCAUGCCGCGUGCAGGAUUGAAGGCCUUAUGGGUCGUAAACUGCUUUUAUUUAGGAAUAAACUUUCGUACGUGUACGAAACUGAAGGUACUAAACGAAUAAGCACCGGCUAACUCCGUGCCAGCAGCCGCGGUAAUACGGAGGGUGCAAGCGUUAUCCGGAUUUAUUGGGUUUAAAGGGUGCGCAGGCGGACCAAUUAGUCAGUGGUGAAAUCCCCGACGGCUCAACCUCGGAACUGCCAUUGAUACUGUUGGUCUUGAAUACGGUUGAAGUAGGCGGAAUGUAGCAUGUAGCGGUGAAAAUGCAUAGAGAUGCUACAGAACACCGAUCGCGAAGGCAGCUUACUAAACCGAUAUUGACGCUCAGGCACGAAAGCGUGGGGAGCGAACAGGAUUAGAUACCCUGGUAGUCCACGCCGUAAACUAUGAUCACUCGUUGUUGGCAAUACACAGUCAGUGACCAAGCGAAAGCGAUAAGUGAUCCACCUGGGGAGUACGAUCGCAAGGUUGAAACUCAAAGGAAUUGACGGGGGCCCGCACAAGCGGUGGAGCAUGUGGUUUAAUUCGAUGAUACGCGAGGAACCUUACCUGGGCUCAAAUGUAAGUUGACAGUUUCUGAAAGGGAAUUUUCUUCGGACAAUUUACAAGGUGCUGCAUGGUUGUCGUCAGCUCGUGCCGUGAGGUGUCGGGUUAAGUCCCAUAACGAGCGCAACCCCUACUCUUAGUUGCCAUCAGAUAAUGCUGGGGACUCUAGGAGAACUGCCUACGCAAGUAGAGAGGAAGGUGGGGAUGACGUCAAAUCAGCACGGCCCUUACGUCCAGGGCUACACACGUGCUACAAUGGCCGGUACAGAGGGCAGCCACCUGGUGACAGGGAGCGAAUCUCUAAAGCCGGUCUCAGUUCGGAUCGAAGUCUGCAACCCGACUUCGUGAAGCUGGAAUCGCUAGUAAUCGCGCAUCAGCCAUGGCGCGGUGAAUACGUUCCCGGGCCUUGUACACACCGCCC